rnacentral:rRNA from 1 species
AGUGAACGCUGGCGGUAGGCCUAACACAUGCAAGUCGAACGGCAGCACAGAGGAGCUUGCUCCUUGGGUGGCGAGUGGCGGACGGGUGAGGAAUACAUCGGAAUCUACUCUGUCGUGGGGGAUAACGUAGGGAAACUUACGCUAAUUCCGCAUACGACCUACGGGUGAAAGCAGGGGAUCUUCGGACCUUGCGCGAUUGAAUGAGCCGAUGUCGGAUUAGCUAGUUGGCGGGGUAAAGGCCCACCAAGGCGACGAUCCGUAGCUGGUCUGAGAGGAUGAUCAGCCACACUGGAACUGAGACACGGUCCAGACUCCUACGGGAGGCAGCAGUGGGGAAUAUUGGACAAUGGGCGCAAGCCUGAUCCAGCCAUACCGCGUGGGUGAAGAAGGCCUUCGGGUUGUAAAGCCCUUUUGUUGGGAAAGAAAUCCAUCUGGUUAAUACCCGGGUGGGAUGACGGUACCCAAAGAAUAAGCACCGGCUAACUUCGUGCCAGCCGCCGCUGUAAAAC